rnacentral:rRNA from 1 species
AUGGUGCAUCAGAUCGGCACAUCUUUCUGGGAGCUUCACUUACCGUCGUUCUCGGCAUGCCUGGAGUCAGAGGAGCCAAGCUCCAACCCAUCAUUAGCAAACGAAACCAGCGAGGCUGGCAUCAUGUUGAAAGAUCUCGAUCACAACGCCAUUGAGGGGAUGAUCUCUGAGCUAAGGGAGGUCGAGUGCCUCUCUGACGUCAACCUUGAGCGCGUCACAAAGGAUAUGGAUGAGUUCCACUUCCUCCUCGAGGAGCUGGACAGGUGUGCUCGCGAGGACAACUGGGUCAUGGACAUGUCCUUUGAGUUCAUUUCUUCCCCGCAAAUGGUGCCGUCUAUGGAGUCCCCAUGCACGGAAGAUGUGAUCGUCACUUUAAGUAGCUCCGUUCAAGGUACUCGACCAUCCUGUUUUAUAGCCUGGAGGAGGUCACCGGAGUUGAAAGAUAUGGUUGCGCGGGUCACCGACACCAAGGAGUCACAGAAGUUGCUAAAGAAAAUUGUGGCUGGCGGUGCAUGGACGAACAAUGGUGAUGGUGGCAGUAUUGCGAGAGCUCAGGAAAGUAACAUCAAGACCCAUGUCAUAUCAGAGAGAAGGCGUCGCGAGAGGCUCAACGAGAUGUUCAUGGUUCUCAAGUCACUGGUCCCAUCCAUUCACAAGGUGGACAAAGCAUCAAUCCUCCUAGAAACGAUAGCUUAUCUCAAGGAGCUGGAGCAAAGGGUAAAAGAGCUAGAAUCCAACAGGGCAACAAUAGAAUGGAGGCUCCAUGAUGUCGUAGGCGGGAAGAAGAAUGUCUCAGCUGGAUCCAAGAGGAAGGCAUUGGAGAGGGAGCAUAAUGAUGGCCAGAGCAACAUUGUCAAUGUGGCCGAGAUGUAG